GGUUGGGCUUGGAGCUAGGAUUUUUCUGAGUGCAAUGAACCAACUCCCGAGUCUCUAGGACGUUCCUAAAAAAAUUUGAUUUUUUUCCCAUAGGAAUGCAUGGGUUAGGGUUAGGGUUAGGGUUGGAGCUAGGGUUAGGGUUAGGGUUGGAGUUAGGGUUAGUGUUGGAGCUAGGGUUAGGGUUGGGCUUGGAGCUAGGAUUUUUCUGAGUGCAAUGAACCAACUCCCGAGUCUCUAGGACGUUCCUAAAAAAAAUUGAUUUUUUCCCAUAGGAAUGCAUGGGUUAGGGUUAGGGUUAGGGUUGGAGCUAGGGUUAGGGUUAGGGUUAGGGUUGGAGUUAGGGUUAGUGUUGGAGCUAGGGUUAGGGUUGGGCUUGGAGCUAGGAUUUUUCUGAGUGCAACGAACCAACUCCCGAGUCUCUAGGACAAUCCUAAAAAAAUUUGAUUUUUUCCCAUAGGAAUGCAUGGGUUAGGGUUAGGGUUAGGGUUGGAGCUAGGGUUAGGGUUAGGGUUAGGGUUGGAGUUAGGGUUAGUGUUGGAGCUAGGGUUAGGGUUGGGCUUGGAGCUAGGAUUUUUCUGAGUGCAAUGAACCAACUCCCGAGUCUCUAGGACGUUCCUAAAAAAAUUUGAUUUUUUCCCAUAGGAAUGCAUGGGUUAGGGUUAGGGUUAGGGUUGGAGCUAGGAUUAGGGUUAGGUGUGGGGUUGGAGCUAGGGUUAGGGUUAGGGUUAGGGUUGGAGUUAGGGUUAGUGUUUGAGCUAGGGUUAGGGUUGGGCUUGGAGCUAGGAUUUUUCUGAGUGCAAUGAACCAACUCCCGAGUCUCUAGGACGUUCCUACAAAAAUUUGAUUUUUUCCCAUAGGAAUGCAUGGGUUAGGGUUAGGGUUAGGGUUGGAGCUAGGGUUAGGGUUAGGGUUGGAGUUAGGGUUAGUGUUGGAGCUAGGGUUAGGGUUGGGCUUGGAGCUAGGAUUUUUCUGAGUGCAAUGAACCAACUCCCGAGUCUCUAGGACGUUCCUAAAAAAAUUUGAUUUUUCCCCAUAGGAAUGCAUGGGUUAGGGUUAGGGUUAGGGUUGGACCUAGGGUUAGGGUUAGGGUUAGGGUUGGAGUUAGGGUUAGUGUUGGAGCUAGGGUUAGGGUUGGGCUUGGAGCUAGGAUUUUUCUGAAUGCAAUGAACCAACUCCCGAGUCUCUAGGACGUUCCUAAAAAAAUUUGAUUUUUUUCCCAUAGGAAUGCAUGGGUUAGGGUUAGGGUUAGGGUUGGAGCUAGGGUUAGGGUUAGGGUUAGGGUUGGAGUUAGGGUUAGUGUUGGAGCUAGGGUUAGGGUUGGGCUUGGAGCUAGGAUUUUUCUGAGUGCAAUGAACCAACUCCCGAGUCUCUAGGACGUUCCUAAAAGAAUUUGAUUUUUUCCCUUAGGAAUGCAUGGGUUAGGGUUAGGGUUAGGGUUGGAGCUAGGGUUAGGGUUAGGGUAAGGGUUAGUGUUGGAGCUAGGGUGAGGGUUGGGCUUGGAGCUAGGAUUUUUCUGAGUGCAAUGAACCAACUCCCGAGUCUUUAGGACGUUCCUAAAAAAAUUUGAUUUUUUCCCAUAGGAAUGCAUGGGUUAGGGUUAGGGUUAGGGUUGGAGCUAGGGUUAGGGUUAGGGUUAGGGUUGGAGUUAGGGUUAGUGUUGGAGCUAGGGUUAGGGUUGGGCUUGGAGCUAGGAUUUUUCUGAGUGCAAUGAACCAACUCCCGAGUCUCUAGGACGUUCCUAAAAAAAUUUGAUUUUUUCCCAUAGGAAUGCAUGGGUUAGGGUUAGGGUUAGGGGAGCUAGGGUUAGGGUUAGGGUUAGGGUUGGAGUUAGGGUUAGUGUUGGAGCUAGGGUUAGGGUUGGGCUUGGAGCUAGGAUUUUUCUGAGUGCAAUGAACCAACUCCCGAGUCUCUAGGACGUUCCUAAAAAAAUUUGAUUUUUUCCCAUAGGAAUGCAUGGGUUAGGGUUAGGGUUAGGGUUGGAGCUAGGGUUAGGGUUAGGGUUAGGGUUGGAGUUAGGGUUAGUGUUGGAGCUAGGUUAGGGUUGGGCUUGGAGCUAGGAUUUUUCUGAGUGCAAUGAACCAACUCCCGAGUCUCUAGGACGUUCCUAAAAAAAAUUGAUUUUUUCCCAUAGGAAUGCAUGGGUUAGGGUUAGGGUUAGGGUUGGAGCUAGGGUUAGGGUUAGGGUUAGGGUUGGAGUUAGGGUUAGUGUUGGAGCUAGGGUUAGGGUUGGGCUUGGAGCUAGGAUUUUUCUGAGUGCCAUGAACCAACUCCCGAGUCUCUAGGACGUUCCUAAAAAAAAUUUGAUUUUUUCCCAUAGGAAUGCAUGGGUUAGGGUUAGGGUUAGGGUUGGAGCUAGGGUCAGGGUUAGGGUUAGGGUUGGAGUUAGGGUUAGUGUUGGAGCUAGGGUUAGGGUUGGGCUUGGAGCUAGGAUUUUUCUGAGUGCAAUGAACCAACUCCCGAGUCUCUAGGACGUUCCUA
rnacentral:lncRNA from 1 species